CACGUAGGGUGCGAGCGUUGUCCGGAAUUAUUGGGCGUAAAGAGCUCGUAGGCGGUGUGUCGCGUCGGCCGUGAAAACCUGCAGCUUAACUGUGGGCUUGCGGUCGAUACGGGCAUCACUGGAGUUCGGCAGGGGAGACUGGAAUUCCUGGUGUAGCGGUGAAAUGCGCAGAUAUCAGGAGGAACACCGGUGGCGAAGGCGGGGUCUCUGGGCAACAACUGACGCUGGAGG
rnacentral:rRNA from 1 species